rnacentral:rRNA from 1 species
AGUGAACGCUGGCGGUAGGCCUAACACAUGCAAGUCGAACGGCAGCACAGUAAGAGCUUGCUCUUACGGGUGGCGAGUGGCGGACGGGUGAGGAAUACAUCGGAAUCUACUUUUUCGUGGGGGAUAACGUAGGGAAACUUACGCUAAUACCGCAUACGACCUACGGGUGAAAGCAGGGGAUCUUCGGACCUUGCGCGAUUGAAUGGGCCGAUGCCGGAUUAGCUAGUUGGCGGGGUAAAGGCCCACCAAGGCGACGAUCCGUAGCUGGUCUGAGAGGAUGAUCAGCCACACUGGAACUGAGACACGGUCCAGACUCCUACGGGAGGCAGCAGUGGGGAAUAUUGGACAAUGGGCGCAAGCCUGAUCCAGCCAUACCGCGUGGGUGAAGAAGGCCUUCGGGUUGUAAAGCCCUUUUGUUGGGAAAGAAAAGCAGCAGGUUAAUACCCCGCUGUUCUGACGGUACCCAAAGAAUAAGCACCGGCUAACUUCGUG